CGCGUAGGCGGCGCUGCAAGUCAGGCGUGAAAUUCCUGGGCUUAACCUGGGGGCUGCGCUUGAGACUGUGGUGCUAGAGGAUGGAAGAGGGUCGUGGAAUUCCCAGUGUAGAGGUGAAAUUCGUAGAUAUUGGGAAGAACACCGGUGGCGAAGGCGGCGACCUGGUCCAUUACUGACGCUGAGGCGCGACAGCGUGGGGAGCAAACA
rnacentral:rRNA from 1 species